rnacentral:rRNA from 1 species
CGGGGCGAGUAACGCGUGGGUAACCUGCCUUGUACUGGGGGACGAGCAGUUGGAAACGACUGCUAAUACCGCAUAAGCGCACAGCUUCGCAUGAAGCAGUGUGAAAAACUCCGGUGGUACAAGAUGGACCCGCGUCUGAUUAGCUGGUUGGUGAGGUAACGGCCCGCCAAGGCGACGAUCAGUAGCCGGCCUGAGAGGGUGAGCGGCCACAUUGGGACUGAGACACGGCCCAA